AACGAACGCUGGCGGCAGGCUUAACACAUGCAAGUCGAGCGCAUCCUUCGGGGUGAGCGGCGGACGGGUGAGUAACGCGUGGGAACGUGCCCUCUUCUACGGAAUAGCCUCGGGAAACUGAGAGUAAUGCCGUAUAUGCUCGCAAGUGGAAAGAUUUAUCGGAGGAGGAUCGGCCCGCGUUGGAUUAGGAAGUUGGUGGGGUAACGGCCUACCAAGACGACGAUCCAUAGCUGGUUUGAGAGGAUGAUCAGCCACACUGGGACUGAGACACGGCCCAGACUCCUACGGGAGGCAGCAGUGGGGAAUCUUGGACAAUGGGGGCAGCCCUGAUCCAGCCAUGCCGCGUGAUCGAUGAAGGCCUUAGGGUUGUAAAGAUCUUUCAGCUGGGAAGAUAAUGACGGUACCAGCAGAAGAAGCCCCGGCUAACUCCGUG
rnacentral:rRNA from 1 species